rnacentral:rRNA from 1 species
UACGUAGGGUGCAGGCGUUAAUCGGAAUUACUGGGCGUAAAGCGUGCGCAGGCGGCUCCUUAAGUCAGAUGUGAAAUCCCCGGGCUCAACCUGGGAACUGCAUUUGUGACUGCACGGCUGGAGUGCGGCAGAGGGGGAUGGAAUUUCCGCGUGUAGCAGUGAAAUGCGUAGAUAUGUGGAGGAACACCGAUGGCGAAGGCAGCCCCCUGGGCCAAUACUGACGCCUCAUGCACGAAAGCGUGGGGAGCAAACAGG